UUGUUGGUAAGGUAAAAGCUUACCAAGGCUUCGAUCAGUAGCUGGUCUGAGAGGACGACCAGCCACACUGGGACUGAGACACGGCCCAGACUCCUACGGGAGGCAGCAGUGGGGAAUUUUGGACAAUGGGGGCAACCCUGAUCCAGCCAUGCCGCGUGAGUGAAGAAGGCCUUCGGGUUGUAAAGCUCUUUCAGCCGGAACGAAACGGUUACGGAUAACACCCGUGACUACUGACGGUACCGGAAGAAGAAGCACCGGCUAACUACGUGCCAGCAGCCGCGGUAAUACGUAGGGUGCGAGCGUUAAUCGGAAUUACUGGGCGUAAAGCGUGCGCAGGUGGUUUUGUAAGUCAGAUGUGAAAGCCCCGGGCUCAACCUGGGAACCGCGUUUGAAACUACAAGACUAGAGUGUGGCAGAGGGGGGUGGAAUUCCGCGUGUAGCAGUGAAAUGCGUAGAGAUGUGGAGGAACACCGAUGGCGAAGGCAGCCCCCUGGGUCAACACUGACGCUCAGGCACGAAAGCAUGGGGAGCAAACAGGAUUAGAUACCCUGGUAGUCCAUGCCCUAAACGAUGUCAACUAGUUGUCGGGCCUUUACGGGCUUGGUAACGUAGCUAACGCGUGAAGUUGACCGCCUGGGGAGUACGAUCGCAAGAUUAAAACUCAAAUGAAUUGACGGGGACCCGCACAAGCGGUGGAUUAUGUGGAUUAAUUCGAUGCAACGCGAAAAACCUUACCUACCCUUGACAUGUAUCGAAGCCCGCAGAAAAGCGGGGGUGCCCGAAAGGGAACGAUAACACAGGUGCUGCAUGGCUGUCGUCAGCUCGUGUCGUGAGAUGUUGGGUUAAGUCCCGCAACGAGCGCAACCCUUGUCAUUAAUUGCCAUCAUUUAGUUGGGCACUUUAAUGAGACUGCCGG
rnacentral:rRNA from 1 species